rnacentral:rRNA from 1 species
AGUGAACGCUGGCGGUAGGCCUAACACAUGCAAGUCGAACGGCAGCACAGUAAGAGCUUGCUCUUACGGGUGGCGAGUGGCGGACGGGUGAGGAAUACAUCGGAAUCUACUUUUUCGUGGGUGAUAACGUAGGGAAACUUACGCUAAUACCGCAUACGACCUACGUGUGAAAGCAGGGGAUCUUCGGACCUUGCGCGAUUGAAUGAGCCGAUGUCGGAUUAGCUAGUUGGCGGGGUAAAGGCCCACCAAGGCGACGCUCCGUAUCUGGUCUGAGAGGAUGGUCAGCCACACUGGAACUGAGACACGGUACCGACUCCUACGGGAGGCAGCAGUGGGGAAUAUUGGACAAUGGGCGAAAGCCUGAUCCAGCCAUACCGCGUGGGUGAAGAAGGCGUUCGGGUUGUAAAGCCCUUUUGUUGGGAAAGAAAAGCAGCAGGUUAAUACCCCGCUGUUCUGACGGUACCGAAAGAAUAAGCACCGGCUAACUUCGUG